GGGGCCAUAGCUCAGCUGGGAGAGCGCCUCCCUUGCACGGAGGAGGCCGUCGGUUCGAGUCCGACUGGCUCCACCA
rnacentral:tRNA from 1 species